rnacentral:lncRNA from 1 species
AUGCUGAGUGUGCUGGCUCUUUUCUCUCAUUUAUCCCAGGGAAGCUUGUUUAAAUGUCCCUUGCAUACUGUAAUUGAAUCCGCUGUGGGAACUCAAGCUUGUACCAUCUUUCUCUGGGCCUCUGGAACUUCCUGGGGGUGAAAAAUCUUCAUUUAAUGAUGAAUUCUGCAGCCUGAAGCCUCGUGUGAGAGACUACCCAAGGAGUAAGACAGGAAAUGUGCCACUAUGUUCCGUUUUAAUUCAAGAGAUUCCCCCCUUCUGUGCAGAGAGGCAUCAAGCUCUUCUGUGGGUUGGCAUUGUUGUUCUUUCUUUUUUUGAUUUCCUUCAUGGAACAGAAAGAGAUUACACCAGGGGAGCUAACUGUGCACUUGGCUCUCCAGGGAAUUCAAUACAUGCCUGCAAUUAACCUGCAUUGAACUGGCCAUUGGAUGUUGCUAUUCCUCCACAAUAAACACAGAUGGGAGGCAGUUUUGACUGAGUAUUUGUAUACUGCAGGUUGGCACAGC